rnacentral:rRNA from 1 species
ACUCCUACGGGAGGCAGCAGUGGGGAAUAUUGCACAAUGGGCGCAAGCCUGAUGCAGCAACGCCGCGUGAGCGAUGAAGGCCUUCGGGUCGUAAAGCUCUGUCCUCAAGGAAGAUAAUGACGGUAC